AGCAGCCGCGGUAAUUCCAGCUCCAAUAGCGUAUAUUAAAGUUGUUGCAGUUAAAAAGCUCGUAGUUGAAUUUCGGGAUCAGUACGCUGGUCAUGCCUUUGGUAUGCACUGGUGUCACUGGUUUCUCCCUUCUGAAGAACCGUGAUGUCAUUAAUUUGGUGUCGCGGGGAAUCAGGACUGUUACUUUGAAAAAUUAGAGUGUUUAAAGCAGGCUCACGCUUGAAUACAUUAGCAUGGAAUAAUGAGAUAGGACGUUUGACCCUAUUUUGUUGGUUUCUAGGAUCGACGUAAUGAUUAAUAGGGAUAGUUGGGGGCAUUAGUAUUCAAUUGUCAGAGGUGAAAUUCUUGGAUUUAUUGAAGACUAACUACUGCGAAAGCAUUUGCCAAGGAUGUUUUCAUUAAUCAAGAACGAAAGUUAGGGGAUCGAAGACGAUCAGAUACCGUCGUAGUCUUAACCAUAAACUAUGCCGACUAGGGAUCGGAUGAUGUUAAUUUUAUAAUGACU
rnacentral:rRNA from 1 species